GACGAACGCUGGCGGCAGGCCUAACACAUGCAAGUCGAACGAGUGGCGGACGGGUGCGUAAUGUCUGGGCAACUGCCCGAUGGAGGGGGAUAACUACUGGAAACGGUAGCUAAUACCGCAUACCAUCGGAUUUGCCCAGAUGGGAUUAGCUAGUAGGUGGGGUAACGGCUCACCAAGGCGACGAUCCCUAGCUGGUCUGAGAGGCGGACCAGCCACACUGGAACUGAGACACGGUCAAGAUUCCGACGGGAGGCAGAAGUGGGGAAUAUUGCACAAUGGGGGCAAGCCUGAUGCAGCCAUGCCGCGUGGAGGAAGAAGGCCUUCGGUUUUUAAAGUACGUUCAGCGAGGAGGCGUUACUCGCAGAAGAAGCACCGGCUAACUCCGUGCCAGCCGCCGCGGUAAUAC
rnacentral:rRNA from 1 species